AUCUGGCUGACGAGUCCUAACUUGAACGAAACGGGCGUCCUGGAU
rnacentral:hammerhead_ribozyme from 1 species